rnacentral:lncRNA from 1 species
UGCUGGUGGAGAUGAUGCAUGGUUAAGGCCGCCCUGAAGUACUUUGGAAGUACUUAUGAAGCAGCAGAGACUUACUUUCCCUGUAAUAGGAUACAAAAUCAGGGAAAUUAGAUUGCUUCAUUUCUCAAGUAUUGUCUUUAUUUUUGAGACUAUUUUCAUACAGUUGUCAUAUACAAGGUGCAUAUAUAUAUAUGUAUGUAUGUAUAUAUAUACAUAUAUAUAUAUUUGUGAAUUAAUAUCUAGAACUGAGUCUACACUGUUAUGAGUCACCAUUUUCACACAACAAAUGAUGAGUCUGCAUUGUUGAUACUUCCAUAUAGAAUGGGAUUUGAGAAAGGGAAGGUUUUGUUUUAUGUAGAGUUUAGUGUAACUUCUAGGUUGU